UUGGUGGAGAGGGGAGACUGUUGUUAGAAGGUGAUGGACUGUUGGUGAAGAGGGGAGACUGUUGUUAGAAGGUGAUGGACUGUUGGUGGAGAGGGGAGACUGUUGUUAGAAGCUGAUGGACUGUUGCUGGAGAGGGGAGACUGUUGGCAGAAGGUGAUGGACUGUUGGUGGAGAGGGGAGACUGUUGGCAGAAGGUGAUGGACUGUUGGUGGAGAAGGGAGACUGUUGGCAGAAGGUGAUGGACUGUUGGUGGAGAGGGGAGACUGUUGGCGGAAGGUGAUGGACGGUGGAGAAGGGAGACUGUUGGCAGGUGAUGGACUGUUGGUGGAGAGGGGAGACUGUUGGCAGAAGGUGAUGGACUGUUGGUGGAGAGGGGAGACUGUUGUUAGAAGGUGAUGGACUGUUGGUGGAGGGUGGAUUCUGUUGGCAGAAGGUGAUGGACUUGGUGGAGAGGGGAGACUGUUGGCAGAAGGUGAUGGACUGUUGGUGGAGAGGGGAGACUGUUGGCAGAAGGUGAUGGACUGUUGGUGGAGGGGGGAGAUUGUUGUUAGAAGGUGAUGGACUGUUGGUGGAGAGGGGAGACUGUUGGCAGAAGGUGAUGGACUGUUGGUGGAGAGGGGAGACUGUUGUUAGAAGCUGAUGGACUGUUGGUGGAGAGGGGAGACUGUUGAUAGAAGGUGAUGGACUGUUGGUGGAGAGGGGAGACUGUUGUUAGAAGGUGAUGGACUGUUGGUGGAGAGGGAAACUGUUGUUAGAAGGUGAUGGACUGUUGCUGGAGGGGGGAGACUGUUGUUAGAAGGUGAUGGACUGUUGGUGGAGAGGGGAGACUGUUGGCAGAAGGUGAUGGACUGUUGGUGGAGAGGGGAGACUGUUGGCAGAAGGUGAUGGACUGUUGGUGGAGACGGGAGACUGUUGUUAGAAGGUGAUGGAAUGUUGGUGGAGAGCGGAGACUGUUGUUAGAAGGUGAUGGACUGUUGGUGGAGAGGGGAGACUGUUAUUAGAAGGUGAUGGACUGUUGGUGGAGAGGGGAGACUGUUGUUAGAAGGUGAUGGACUGUUGGUGGAGAGGGGAGACUGUUGGCAGAAGGUGAUGAACUGUUGGUGGAGAGGAGAGACUGUUGUUAGAAGGUGAUGGACUCGGUGGAGAGGGGAGACUGUUGUUAGAAGGUGAUGGACUGUUGGUGGAGAGGGGAGACUGUUGGCAGAAGGUGAUGGACUGCUGGUGGAGAGGGGAGACUGUUGGCAGAAGGUGAUGGACUGUUGGUGGAGAGGGGAGACUGUUGGCAGAAGGUGAUGGACUGUUGGUGGAGAGGGGAGACUGUUGGCAGAAGGUGAUGGACUGUUGGUGGAGAGGGGUGACUGUUGGCAGAAUGUGAUGGACUGUUGGUGGAGAGGGGAGACUGUUGUUAGAAGAUGAUGGACUGUUGGUGGAGAGGGGAGACUGUUGUUAGAAGGUGAUGGACUGUUGGUGGAGAGGGGAGACUGUUGUUAGAAGGUGAUGGACUGUUGGUGGAGAGGGGAGACUGUUGUUAGAAGGUGAUGGACUGUUGGUGGAGAGGGGAGACUGUUGGCAGAAGGUGAUGGACUGUUGGUGGAGGGGGGAGAUUGUUGUUAGAAGGUGAUGGACUGUUGGUGGAGAGGGGAGACUGUUGGCAGAAGGUGAUGAACUGUUGGUGGAGAGGGGAGACUGUUGAUAGAAGCUGAUGGACUGUUGGUGGAGAGGGGAGACUGUUGAUAGAAGGUGAUGGACUGUUGGUGGAGAGGGGAGACUGUUGUUAGAAGCUGAUGGACUGUUGGUGGAGAGGGGAGACUGUUGAUAGAAGGUGAUGGACUGUUGCUGGAGGGGGGAGACUGUUGUUAGAAGGUGAUGGACUGUUGGUGGAGAGGGGAGACUGUUGGCAGAAGGUGAUGGACUGUUGGUGGAGAGGGGAGACUGUUGGCAGAAGGUGAUGGACUGUUGGUGGAGAGGGGAGACUGUUGUUAGAAGGUGAUGGACUGUUGGUGGAGAGGGGAGACUGUUGUUAGAAGGUGAUGGACUGUUGGUGGAGAGGGGAGACUGUUGUUAGAAGGUGAUGGACUGUUGGUGGAGAGGGGAGACUGUUGUUAGAAGGUGAUGGACUGUUGGUGGAGAGGGGAGACUGUUGGCAGAAGGUGAUGAACUGUUGGUGGAGAGGAGAGACUGUUGUUAGAAGGUGAUGGACUUGGUGGAGAGGGGAGACUGUUGUUAGAAGGUGAUGGACUGUUGGUGGAGAGGGGAGACUGUUGGCAGAAGGUGAUGGACUGUUGGUGGAGAGGGGAGACUGUUGUUAGAAGGUGAUGGACUGUUGGUGGAGAGGGGAGACUGUUGUUAGAAGGUGAUGGACUGUUGGUGGAGAGGGGAGACUGUUGUUAGAAGGUGAUGGACUGUUGGUGGAGGGGGGAGACUGUUGUUAGAAGGUGAUGGACUGUUGGUGGAGAGGGGAGACUGUUGUUAGAAGGUGAUGGACUGUUGGUGGAGAGGGGAGACUGUUGUUAGAAGGUGAUGGACUGUUGGUGGAGAGCGGAGACUGUUGGCAGAAGGUGAUGGACUGUUGGUGGAGAGGGGAGACUGUUGGCAGAAGGUGAUGGACGGUGGAGAAGGGAGACUGUUGGCAGGUGAUGGACUGUUGGUGGAGAGGGGAGACUGUUGUUAGAAGGUGAUGGACUGUUGGUGGAGAGGGGAGACUGUUGUUAGAAGGUGAUGGACUGUUGGUGGAGGGGGGAUUCUGUUGGCAGAAGGUGAUGGACUUGGUGGAGAGGGGAGACUGUUGGCAGAAGGUGAUGGACUGUUGGUGGAGAGGGGAGACUGUUGGCAGAAGGUGAUGGACUGUUGGUGGAGGGGGGAGAUUGUUGUUAGAAGGUGAUGGACUGUUGGUGGAGAGGGGAGACUGUUGGCAGAAGGUGAUGGACUGUUGGUGGAGAGGGGAGACUGUUGGCAGAAGGUGAUGGACUGUUGGUGGAGAGGGGAGACUGUUGUUAGAAGGUGAUGGACUGUUGGUGGAGAGGGGAGACUGUUGUUAGAAGGUGAUGGACUGUUGGUGGAGAGGGGAGACUGUUGUUAGAAGGUGAUGGACUGUUGGUGGAGAGGGGAGACUGUUGUUAGAAGGUGAUGGACUGUUGGUGGAGAGGGGAGACUGUUGGCAGAAGGUGAUGAACUGUUGGUGGAGAGGAGAGACUGUUGUUAGAAGGUGAUGGACUUGGUGGAGAGGGGAGACUGUUGUUAGAAGGUGAUGGACUGUUGGUGGAGAGGGGAGACUGUUGGCAGAAGGUGAUGGACUGUUGGUGGAGAGGGGAGACUGUUGUUAGAAGGUGAUGGACUGUUGGUGGAGAGGGGAGACUGUUGUUAGAAGGUGAUGGACUGUUGGUGGAGAGGGGAGACUGUUGUUAGAAGGUGAUGGACUGUUGGUGGAGGGGGGAGACUGUUGUUAGAAGGUGAUGGACUGUUGGUGGAGAGGGGAGACUGUUGUUAGAACGUGAUGGACUGUUGGUGGAGAGGGGAGACUGUUGAUAGAAGGUGAUGGACUGUUGGUGGAGAGCGGAGACUGUUGGCAGAAGGUGAUGGACUGUUGGUGGAGAGGGGAGACUGUUGGCAGAAGGUGAUGGACGGUGGAGAAGGGAGACUGUUGGCAGGUGAUGGACUGUUGGUGGAGAGGGGAGACUGUUGUUAGAAGGUGAUGGACUGUUGGUGGAGAGGGGAGACUGUUGUUAGAAGGUGAUGGACUGUUGGUGGAGGGGGGAUUCUGUUGGCAGAAGGUGAUGGACUUGGUGGAGAGGGGAGACUGUUGGCAGAAGGUGAUGGACUGUUGGUGGAGAGGGGAGACUGUUGGCAGAAGGUGAUGGACUGUUGGUGGAGGGGGGAGAUUGUUGUUAGAAGGUGAUGGACUGUUGGUGGAGAGGGGAGACUGUUGGCAGAAGGUGAUGGACUGUUGGUGGAGAGGGGAGACUGUUGUUAGAAGCUGAUGGACUGUUGGUGGAGAGGGGAGACUGUUGAUAGAAGGUGAUGGACUGUUGGUGGAGAGGGGAGACUGUUGUUAGAAGGUGAUGGACUGUUGGUGGAGAGGGAAACUGUUGUUAGGUGAUGGACUGUUGCUGGAGGGGGGAGACUGUUGUUAGAAGGUGAUGGACUGUUGGUGGAGAGGGGAGACUGUUGGCAGAAGGUGAUGGACUGUUGGUGGAGAGGGGAGACUGUUGGCAGAAGGUGAUGGACUGUUGGUGGAGAGGGGAGACUGUUGUUAGAAGGUGAUGGACUGUUGGUGGAGAGGGGAGACUGUUGUUAGAAGGUGAUGGACUGUUGGUGGAGAGGGGAGACUGUUGUUAGAAGGUGAUGGACUGUUGGUGGAGAGGGGAGACUGUUGUUAGAAGGUGAUGGACUGUUGGUAGAGAGGGGAGACUGUUGGCAGAAGGUGAUGAACUGUUGGUGGAGAGGAGAGACUGUUGUUAGAAGGUGAUGGACUUGGUGGAGAGGGGAGACUGUUGUUAGAAGGUGAUGGACUGUUGGUGGAGAGGGGAGACUGUUGGCAGAAGGUGAUGGACUGUUGGUGGAGAGGGGAGACUGUUGUUAGAAGGUGAUGGACUGUUGGUGGAGAGGGGAGUCUGUUGUUAGAAGGUGAUGGACUGUUGGUGGAGAGGGGAGACUGUUGUUAGAAGGUGAUGGACUGUUGGUGGAGGGGGGAGACUGUUGUUAGAAGGUGAUGGACUGUUGGUGGAGAGGGGAGACUGUUGUUAGAAGGUGAUGGACUGUUGGUGGAGAGGGGAGACUGUUGUUAGAAGCUGAUGGACUGUUGGUGGAGAGGGGAGACUGUUGUUAGAAGGUGAUGGACUGUUGGUGGAGAGGGAAGACUGUUGUUAGAAUGUGAUGGACUGUUCGUGGAGGGGGGAGACUGUUGGCAGGUGAUGGACUGUUGGUGGAGAGGGGAGACUGUUGGCAGAAGGUGAUGGACUGUUGGUGGAGAGGGGAGACUGUUGUUAGAAGGUGAUGGACUGUUGGUGGAGAGGGGAGACUGUUGGCAGAAGGUGAUGGACUGUUGGUGGAGGGGGGAGAUUGUUGUUAGAAGGUGAUGGACUGUUGGUGGAGAGGGGAGACUGUUGGCAGAAUGUGAUGGACUGUUGGUGGAGGGGGGAGACUGUUGUUAGAAGGUGAUGGACUGUUGGUGGAGAGGGGAGACUGUUGUUAGAAGGUGAUGGACUGUUGGUGGAGAGGGGAGACUGUUGUUAGAAGCUGAUGGACUGUUGGUGGAGAGGGGAGACUGUUGUUAGAAGGUGAUGGACUGUUGGUGGAGAGGGAAGACUGUUGUUAGAAUGUGAUGGACUGUUCGUGGAGGGGGGAGACUGUUGGCAGGUGAUGGACUGUUGGUGGAGAGGGGAGACUGUUGGCAGAAGGUGAUGGACUGUUGGUGGAGAGGGGAGACUGUUGUUAGAAGGUGAUGGACUGUUGGUGGAGAGGGGAGACUGUUGGCAGAAGGUGAUGGACUGUUGGUGGAGGGGGGAGAUUGUUGUUAGAAGGUGAUGGACUGUUGGUGGAGAGGGGAGACUGUUGGCAGAAUGUGAUGGACUGUUGGUGGAGAGGGGAGACUGUUGUUAGAAGGUGAUGGACUGUUGGUGGAGAGGGGAGACUGUUGGCAGAAUGUGAUGGACUGUUGGUGGAGAGGGGAGACUGUUGUUAGAAGGUGAUGGACGGUUGGUGGAGAGGGGAGACUGUUGUUAGAAGGUGAUGGACUGUUGGUGGAGAGGGGAGACUGUUGUUAGAAGGUGAUGGACUGUUGGUGGAGAGGGGAGACUGUUGGCAGAAGGUGAUGGACUGUUGGUGGAGAGGGGAGACUGUUGUUAGAAGGGGAUGGACUGUUGGUGGAGAGGGGAGACUGUUGUUAGAAGGUGAUGGACUGAUGGUGGAGAGGGGAGACUGUUGUUAGAAGGUGAUGGACUGUUGGUGGAGAGGGGAGACUGUUGUUAGAAGGUGAUGGACUGAUGAUGGAGAGGGGAGACUGUUGUUAGAAGGUGAUGGACUGUUGGUGGAGAGGGGAGACUGUUGUUGGAAGGUGACGGACUGUUGGUGGAGAGUGGAGACUUUUGUUAGAAGGUGAUGGACUGAUGGUGGAGAGGGGAGACUGUUGUUAGAAGGUGAUGGACUGUUGGUGGAGAGGGGAGACUGUUGGCAGAAGGUGAUGGACUUGGUGGAGAGGGGAGACUGUUGAUAGAAGGUGAUGGACUGUUGGUGGAGAGGGGAGACGGUUGUUAGAAGGUGAUGGACUGAUGGUGGAGAGGGGAGACUGUUGGCAGAAGGUGAUGGACUUGGUGGAGAGGGGAGACUGUUGUUAGAAGGUGAUGGACUUGGUGGAGAGGGGAGACUGUUGUUAGAAGGUGAUGGACUGUUGGUGGAGAGGGGAGACUGUUGGCAGAAGGUGAUGGACUUGGUGGAGAGAAGAGACUGUUGUUAGAAGGUGAUGGACUUGGUGGAGAGGGGAGACUGUUGAUAGAAGGUGAUGGACUGUUGGUGGAGAGUGGAGACUGUUGGCAGAAGGUGAUGGACUGUUGGUCGAGAGGGGAGACUGUUGGCAGAAGGUGAUGGACUUGGUGGAGAUGGGAGACUGUUGGCAGAAGGUGAUGGUCUGUUGGUGGAGAGGGGAGACUGUUGGCAGAAGGUGAUGGACUGUUGGUGGAGUGGGGAGACUGUUGUUAGAAGCUGAUGGACUGUUGCUGGAGAGGGGAGACUGUUGUUAGAAGGUGAUGGACUGUUGGUGGAGAGGGGAGACUGUUGGCAGAAGGUGAUGGACUGUUGGUGGAGAGGGGAGACAGUUGUUAGAAGGUGAUGGACUGUUGAUGGAGAGGGGAGACUGUUGUUAGAAGGUGAUGGACUGUUGGUGGAGAGGGGAGACUGUUGUUAGAAGGUGAUGGACUGUUGGUGGAGAGGGGAGACUGUUGUUAGAAGGUGAUGGACUGUUGGUGGAGAGGGGAGACUGUUGUUAGAAGGUGAUGGACUGUUGGUGGUGAGGGGAGACUGUUGGCAGAAGGUGAUGGACUGUUGGUGGAGAGGGGAGACUGUUGUUAGAAGGUGAUGGACUUGGUGGAGAGGGGAGACUGUUGUUAGAAGAUGAUGGACUGUUGGUGGAGAGGGGAGACUGUUGGCAGAAGGUGAUGGACUUGGUGGAGAGGGGAGACUGUUUGCAGAAGGUGAUGGACUUGGUGGAGAGGGGAGACUGUUGGCAGAACGUGAUGGACGGUUGGUGGAGGGGGGAGAUUGUUGUUAGAAGGAGAUGGACUGUUGGUGGAGGGGCGAGACUGUUGGCAGAAGGUGAUGGACUGUUGGUGGAGAGGGGAGACUGUUGUUAGAAGGUGAUGGACUGUUGGUGGAGGGGGGAGAUUGUUGUUAGAAGUAGAUGGACUGUUGGUGGAGGGGUGAGACUGUUGGCAGAAGGUGAUGGACUUGGUGGAGAGGGGGGACUGUUGUUAGAAGGUGAUGGACUGUUGGUGGAGAGGUGAGACUGUUGGCAGAAGGUGAUGGACUGAUGGUGGAGAGGCGAGACUGUUGUUAGAAGGUGAUGGACAGUUGGUGGAGAGGGGAGACUGUUGUUAGAAGGUGAUGGACUGUUGGUGGAGAGGGGAGACUGUUGGCAGAAGGUGAUGGACUGUUGGUGGAGAGGGGAGUGUUGGCAGAAGGUGAUGGACUGAUGGUGGAGAGGCGAGACUGUUGUUAGAAGGUGAUGGACAGUUGGUGGAGAGGGGAGACUGUUGUUAGAAGGUGAUGGACUGUUGGUGGAGAGGGGAGACUGUUGGCAGAAGGUGAUGGACUGUUGGUGGAGAGGGGAGACUGUUGGCAGAAGGUGAUGGACUGAUGGUGGAGAGGCAAGACUGUUGUUAGAAGGUGAUGGACAGUUGGUGGAGAGGGGAGACUGUUGGCAGGUGAUGGACUGUUGGUGGAGAGGGGAGACUGUUGUUAGAAGGUGAUGGACUGUUGGUGGAGAGGGGAGACUGUUGUUAGAAGGUGAUGGACUGUUGGUGGAGAGGGGAGACUGUUGUUAGAAGGUGAUGGACUGUUGGUGGAGGGGGGAGACUGUUGGCAGAAGGUGAUGGACUGUUGGUGGAGGGGGGAGACUGUUGUUAGAAGGUGAUGGACUGUUGGUGGAGAGGGGAGACUGUUGUUAGAAGGUGAUGGACUGUUGGUGGAGAGGGGAGACUGUUGUUAGAAGGUGAUGGACUGAUGGUGGAGAGGGGAGACUGUUGGCAGAAGGUGAUGGACUUGGUGGAGAGGGGAGACUGUUGGCAGAAGGUGAUGGACUGUUGGUGGAGAGGGGAGACUGUUGGCAGAAGGUGAUGGACUGUUGGUGGAGAGGGGAGAUUGUUGUUAGAAGGUGAUGGACUGAUGGUGGAGAGGGGAGACUGUUGUUAGAAGGUGAUGGACUUGGUGGAGAGGGGAGACUGUUGGCAGUAUGUGAUGGACUGUUGGUGGAGAGGGGAGACUGUUGUUAGAAGGUGAUGGACUGUUGGUGGAGAGGGGAGACUGUUGGCAGGUGAUGGACUGUUGGUGGAGAGGGGAGACUGUUGUUAGAAGGUGAUGGACUGUUGCUGGAGAGGGGAGACUGUUGUUAGAAGGUGAUGGACUGUUGGUGGAGAGGGGAGACUGUUGUUAGAAGGUGAUGGACUGUUGGUGGAGGGCGGAGACUGUUGGCAGAAGGUGAUGGACUUGGUGGAGGGGGGAGACUGUUGGCAGAAGGUGAUGGACUGUUGGUGGAGAGGGGAGACUGUUGUUAGCAGGUGAUGGACUGUUGGUGGAGAGGGGAGACUGUUGUUAGAAGGUGAUGGACUGUUGGUGGAGAGGGGAGACUGUUGUUAGAAGGUGAUGGACUGAUGGUGGAGAGGGGAGACUGUUGUUAGAAGGUGAUGGACUGUUUGUGGAGAGGGGAGACUGUUGUUAGAAGGUGAUGGACUGUUGGUGGAGAGGGGAGACUGUUGGCAGAAGGUGAUGGACUUGGUGGAGAGGGGAGACUGUUGGCAGAAGGUGAUGGACUGUUGGUGGAGAGGGGAGACUGUUGUUAGAAAGUGAUGGACUGUUGGUGGAGAGGGGAGACUGUUGUUAGAAGGUGAUGGACUGUUGGUGGAGAGGGGAGACUGUAGGCAGAAGGUGAUGGACUGUUGGUGGAGAGGGGAGACUGUUGUUAGAAGGUGAUGGACUGAUGGUGGAGAGGGGAGACUGUUGGCAGAAGGUGAUGGACUGUUGGUGGAGAGGGGAAUCUGUUGUUAGAAGGUGAUGGACUGUUGGUGGAGAGGGGAGACUUUUGGCAGAAGGUGAUGGACUGUUGGUGGAGAGGGGAGACUGUUGUUAGAAGGUGAUGGACUGUUGGUGGAGAGGGGAGACUGUUGGCAGAAGGUGAUGGACUGUUGGUGGAAAGGGGAGACUGUUGGCAGAAGGUGAUGGACUGUUGGUGGAGAGGGGAGACUGUUGUUAGAAGAUGAUGGACUGUUGGUGGAGAGGGGAGACUGUUGUUAGAACGUGAUGGACUGUUGGUGGAGGGGGGAGACUGUUGGCAGAAGGUGAUGGACUGUUGGUGCAGAGGGGAGACUGUUGGCAGAAGGUGAUGGACUGUUGGUGGAGAGUGGAGACUGUUGUUAGAAGGUGAUGGACUGUUGGUGGAGAGGGGAGACUGUUGUUAGAAGGUGAUGGACUGUUGGUGGAGAGGGGAGACUGUUGGCAGAAGGUGAUGUACUGUUGGUGGAGAGGGGAGACUUUUUUUAGAAGGUGAUGGACUGUUGGUGGAGAGGGGAGACUGUUGGCAGAAUGUGAUGGACUGUUGGUGGAGGGGGGAGACUGUUGUUAGAAGGUGAUGGACUGUUGGUGGAGAGGGGAGACUGUUGGCAGGUGAUGGACUGUUGGUGGAGAGGGGAGACUGUUGUUAGAAGGUGAUGGACUGUUGGUGGAGGGGGGAGACUGUUGUUAGAAGGUGGACAGUUGGUGGAGAGGGGGACUGUUGGCAGAAGGUGAUGGACUGUUGGUGGAGAGGCGAGACUGUUGGCAGAAGAUGAUGGACUGUUGGUGGAGGGGGGAGAUUGUUGUUAGAAGGUGAUGGACUGUUGGUGGAGAGGGGAGACUGUUGGCAGAAUGUGAUGGACUGUUGGUGGAGAGGGGAGACUGUUGUUAGAAGGUGAUGGACUGUUGGUGGAGAGGGGAGACUGUUGUUAGAAGGUGAUGGACUGUUGGUGGAGAGGGGAGACUGUUGUUAGAAGGUGAUGGACUGUUGGUGGAGAGGGGAGACUGUUGGCAGAAGGUGAUGGACUGUUGGUGGAGAGGGGAGACUGUUGUUAGAAGGUGAUGGACUGAUGGUGGAGAGGCGAGACUGUUGUUAGAAGGUGAUGGACAGUUGGUGGAGAGGGGAGACUGUUGUUAGAAGGUGAUGGACUGAUGGUGGAGAGGGGAGACUGUUGUUAGAAGGUGAUGGACUGUUGGUGGAGAGGGGAGACUGUUGUUAGAAGGUGAUGGACUGUUGGUGGAGAGUGGAGACUGUUGUUAGAAGGUGAUGGACUGUUGGUGGAGUGGGGAGACUGUUGUUAAAAGGUGAUGGACUGUUGGUGGAGAGGGGAGACUGUAGGCAGAAGGUGAUGGACUGUCGGUGGAGAGGGGAGACUGUUGUUAGAAGGUGAUGGACUGAUGGUGGAGAGGGGAGACUGUUGGCAGAAGGUGAUGGACUGUUGGUGGAGAGGGGAGUCUGUUGUUAGAAGGUGAUGGACUGUUCCUGGAGAGGGGAGACUUUUGGCAGAAGGUGAUGGACUGUUGGUGGAGAGGGGAGACUGUUGUUAGAAGGUGAUGGACUGUUGGUGGAGAGGGGAGACUGUUGUUAGAAGGUGAUGGACUGUUGGUGGAGAGGGGAGACUGUUGGCAGAAGGUGAUGGACUGUUGGUGGAGAGGGGAGACUGUUGUUAGAAGGUGAUGGACUGUUGGUGGAGAGGGGAGACUGCUGGCAGAAUGUGAUGGACUGUUGGUGGAGAGGGGAGACUGUUGUUAGAAGGUGAUGGACUGAUGGUGGAGAGGGGAGACUGUUGGCAGAAGGUGAUGGACUGUUGGUGGAGAGGGGAGUCUGUUGUUAGAAGGUGAUGGACUGUUGGUGGAGAGGGGAGACUUUUGGCAGAAGGUGAUGGACUGUUGGUGGAGAGGGGAGACUGUUGUUAGAAGGUUAUGGACUGUUGGUGGAGAGUGGAGACUGUUGUUAGAAGCUGAUGGACUUGGUGGAGAGGGGAGACUGUUGGCAGAAGGUGAUGGACUUGGUGGAGAGGGGAGACUGUUGGCAGAAGGUGAUGGACUGAUGGUGGAGAGGGGAGACUGUUGGCAGAAGGUGAUGGACUGUUGGUGGAGGGGGGAGACUGUUGGCAGAAGGUGAUGGACUGUUGGUGGUGGGGGGAGACUGUUGUUAGAAGGUGAUGGACUGUUGGUGGAGAGGGGAGACUGUUGUUAGAAGGUGAUGGAUUGAUGGUGGAGAGGGGAGACUGUUGGCAGAAGGUGAUGGACGGUGGAGAGGGGAGACUGUUGGCAGAAGGUGAUGGACUUGGUGGAGAGGGGAGACUGUUGUUAGAAGGUGAUGGACUGUUGGUGGAGAGGGGAGACUGUUGUUAGAAGGUGAUGGACUGUUGGUGGAGGGGGGAGACUGUUGUUAGAAGGUGAUGGACUGUUGGUGGAGAGGGGAGACUGUUGGCAGAAGGUUAGGUGUUCGUUGAGAAAAAUAGAUAUUACAGAGUGUUUGAAACCUUGGUUUAUCUCUCACUGCAGGAAACUUGUUCCCAAGUCCUGCAGCAGCGACGAGGAAUUCCUGAAAGUCUACCGGGUUGAGCAGAAGCACCUGGAGUCUGUGCCCUGCCUCUCAGCCACUGUGGAGCCCAGCACCUGGGGCAACGUCAAUGAGCUGGCCAAAGCCGUGAAGCAGAGCAUCUUGCAGGAGCAGACAAAACUCGUCUGGAUCGAGCAGAACUAAAGCUCAUUAGCCAGCCGAGCCUCCGUCCAUGAUACGGCAUGGAAGGACUGUGGCUCUGGUGGGGACAGAUGUGGGAAUCCAGCCCAGCAAGGUAUCUCCUGUCCGAUGCCCAAUGACAUUGAAGCCCAGUCACUCUCCUCUAGGCACAGGUCCAAACAGAAAGCAGAAAACUACAAGUUACCAACUGGUAGAUCUAUGCUGGUGGCCGCAGCAAGAUGGCAUCUGACACACUGAUCUCAACCCUUCUCCACGAGGCCAGAGAAGCAGGACUGGGCAGCUGGAUGAGGAGCGUGGAGUUGUAGAGGGUGAGUCAGUCACACCAGAAGGCAGCUGGUUAGGAAGGAUUUGCAGGGCUGUGAGAGGAUAGGAGAGCCAAACCAACUGGAUUAUUCUUCAAUUGAGUCAGUAUAGACUGAACAGGCUGAAUAGCCUGACUAUUCUCUAACACUGUGACCUUUUGUUUCUCCAGCUCCAAUUUCCAGCCCCUUUCCCUUGAACUGCCGUCCCUUUUGUCCUUUUAUGGAGUCUCUCCUUCCAUUUAAGAAACGUAUAGAGAAUUGAAAGAGGGAGGGCUAUGUUGGAGGGAAGGAUUAGAUUUAUCUUCGAGUAGGUUGAAAGGUCGGCACAACAUCUUGGGUUGAAGAGCCUGUACUUAGCUGUUCUGUGUUCUAUAUUCCUAACUAACACCUCCCCUUUCAUUUGCUCCUCCCCCUCUCUUUAUCGCAUCUGCUGUUAUUUUCUCUCUUAAUGUUUACCCAGUUCCAUUUAAAUAUCUUUGACCUUAAAUAUUCAUUUUCAAAGUCAAAGUACUUUGACACAAGUACGCGUGUGCACAGUGAAAACGCACUCGCCGCAGGCAGCAUUGAGAAGAAAGACAUAAAUUAAAAAUAAUUUAUACACAGCUUUUACAGAAACAACACAAUUAGAGCAAAAAGAUUGUCCAUUUUGAUGCAAAGUAGUCAGAGUGUUGUCCAGCUGUAGUGACUAGUUAGUUCCAGAAUGGUUAAUGCAUAGAACAUAGUACAGAAAUACAGGCCAUUCAGCCCACACUGUUGUGCGGAGUUCUUAACCUACUCCAAGAUCCACUUGACCCUUCUCUCCCAUGUAGUCCUCGAUUUAUGUGCCUAUGUAAGAGUCUCUUAAUAUAUUUGCCUCUCCCACCACCCCUGGCAGCAUACACCAUUCUGUCUAAAAAAUAGACUACCCCCCCUUACACUUUCCUCAAACACAGUAAAGUUAUCACCCCUUGUAUUAGCCAUUUUCACCAGGGAAAGAGUCUCUUUGUCCACUCGAUCUGAGCCCCUUAUCGUCUUACAUGCCUCUAUCGUCACCCCUCAUCCUCCUUUAUUCCAAAGAGAAAAGCCCCUCGCUCACUCACCCUCUCCUCAUCGAGAGAGGGGAAGUAGCUCCUUGUCUCACUCUCCACGGACCCUUUCCAUUGAACGUGGCGUGUCAUACGUAGGCGCCUUCUCCCAACCCACCCAGCACUUGGAGUGUUUUCUCCUUCUCUUUCCGAUUUCCACCUUCUACAGCAUCUUGCUUUGUGUUGAACUCUUAACAGUUUAUUUUUCUUCGUUAAAUAAUAUUUCGAAGUUACUGAUAACUUUAGUUCAAAAGCAGUUUGGGAUACUGAUAAACAGGAGAGAGGAGCUGAUAACGCUGGAAACACACAAACUCAGCUGGACAGAAGAGCGAACAGUCGACGUUUCAGGCCGAGACCCUUCGCCAGGACCGGAAAUGAGGGGGAAAGAGAAUAAAAAGGUGUGGGGAGGGGAAGGAGGCUAGAUAGAAAGUGAUAGGUGAAACCAGGGCUGGAGAAGAAGGAAUAAUAGUAGAUGAUAGGAAAAAGGGAAGGAGGAGGGGGCCUUGGAAGGAGUUACAGGCAGGCGAGGUGUAAAAGGUCAGAGUGAGGGGAGGGUACAUUCCAGUGCUUCUCUAAAUGCCUCCAUCUUACUUGCCUACACCACUCUCUGUAUAAAUAACUUGAGCCACACAUCUCCUUUAAACUUACUCCUCUCACCGUAAGCGCACCCUCUUCAAUAUUAGACAUUUCAACCCUGGGUACAAGGUACCAGCUCUCUAUUCUAUCUCUGCCUCUCAAAAUCUUAUAAACUUCUCUCAGAUCGCCCCUCAGCCUCCACGGCUCCGGAGAAAACAACACAGUAUGUGCCCCGUCUAAUCCGGGCGGCAUCCUGGUAAACCUCUUCUGCCCCUUCUCCAAAGUCUCCACAUCCUUCCUAUCACGGGGCAACUAAAACUGAGUUCAAUGCUCUAGACAGACCCAAAGCAAUUUCUAUGAUGAGUGUAGAUUUUUAGUGGAAAAUGUCUGCAUAAGUCUGUGAGAGGAAGACAUGAACUGGAAGAAAGUUUUAAAGACAGGUUUUUUUAAUAUAUUGUAAAUACAUCUUAUUUUUGAUUCUAUUCAAAUAUUUAUCAAAUCUAAUUAUAUUAUCAGUGCUAUUA